UACGCUCAGUAACACGUGGAUAACCUGCCCUUGGUCCGGCAUAACCCGGAAACUGGGGAUAAUUCCGGAAAACGCACAUAUGCUGGAAUGCUUUAUGCGUAAAAAUGAUUCGUCUGCCCAAAGGAUGGUUCUGCGGCCUAUUCAGGUAGUAGUGGGUGUAAAUGUACCUACUAGCCCAAACAACGGGUACGGGUUGUGGAGAAGCAAGAGCCCGGAGAUGGAUUCUGAGACAUGAAUCCAGGCCCUACGGGGCGCAGCAGGCGCGAAAACUUUACAAUGCGGGAAACCGUGAUAAGGGGACACCGAGUGCCAGCGUCAUACGCUGGCUGUCCAGGUGUGUAAAAUACACCUGUUAGCAAGGGCCGGGCAAGACCGGUGCCAGCCGCCGCGGUAACACCGGCGGCCCGAGUGGUGAUCGUGAUUAUUGGGUCUAAAGGGUCCGUAGCCGGUUUGGUCAGUCCUCCGGGAAAUCUGAUAGCUCAACUAUUAGGCUUUCGGGGGAUACUGCCAGACUUGGAACCGGGAGAGGUAAGAGGUACUACAGGGGUAGGAGUGAAAUCUUGUAAUCCCUGUGGGACCACCUGUGGCGAAGGCGUCUUACCAGAACGGGUUCGACGGUGAGGGACGAAAGCUGGGGGCACGAACCGGAUUAGAUACCCGGGUAGUCCCAGCCGUAAACGAUGCUCGCUAGGUGUCAGGCAUGGCGCGACCGUGUCUGGUGCCGCAGGGAAGCCGUGAAGCGAGCCACCUGGGAAGUACGGCCGCAAGGCUGAAACUUAAAGGAAUUGGCGGGGGAGCAC
rnacentral:rRNA from 1 species